rnacentral:sRNA from 6 species
UUGCUAUCUGCGAUAUGGAAGAUUCGAACCUGCCGCAGGUUCGGGUCUCAUGCAGUGAGACAACGGAGCCGUUUACGGCGACGGCCCGAAGGGCGAGCGAAGCGAGUCAUCCUGCACGACUCACCA